GUCCAUCCAGAGGCUCCUGUGCCGGAGGAGGACGCUCCGGGGGAGGCAGGGCGCGACAAUUUCGCUGGCGGCGAGCCAGGAAGCGGCACGGCGUGCGAGUUUACGCAAUCACGGACGAUGUGGCCGAAGAAACGGCAGCGGACAUCUUUGCGGCAUUCGGAGCGCGAGUGACCUCGGCCGAGGCACCGGGGGCACUCGUCCGAACACAGGGGCGCGGUGGGGCGCACACCAGCGGGACGACGAGGGCGGUGCUACUGGGGGCGGCGGUCUCGGCGCCUACGGGGCGAGAUCCAGCCGGAAGCCGCCACCAUCGUCAACGGGUCCGGCACCCCCCUCCUCCAUCGGAGACACGCGGUGGAUUCCAGAACAGGGGCCGUGGAGAGGCGCCGGCGGCG
rnacentral:lncRNA from 1 species